AAGUACAUGCCGAACUAAGGUGAAACCGCGAAUGGCUCAUUAAAUCAGUUAUGGUUCCUUGGAUCGUACCUCACUACUUGGAUAACUGUGGCAAUUCUAGAGCUAAUACAUGCAGCAGAGCUCCGACCCUCGGGAACGAGCGCUUUUAUUAGACCAAGACCAGACGGGCCUCGCGCCCGCCCACUCUGUGGUGACUCUGUAUAACUUUGGGCCGAUCGCACGGGCCUGACCCGGCGACGUAUCCUUCAAGUGUCUGCCUUAUCAACUGUCGAUGGUAGGUCACGCGCCUACCAUGGUCGUAACGGGUGACGGGGAAUCAGG
rnacentral:rRNA from 1 species